UGCAGGGGAUGCAGAGGUGCAGCAUCCAGGGGAGGCCUCGUGGCUCUGCUCCUGCUGCUCUGGGUUGGACAGGGACCUGUCAGCCUGCUCAGAUUUGGUUCCUGCAGAUUCUCGGCCAAGAGGAAAUUUCCUUGCUCUGGCCUGACCGUUUUAACCUGCAAACAAAUAAACAAAUCCCAGUCCAGCCGCAGGUGUCUGCAGGACAAACCAUUUGCAGGCAUAGGCUGAGGACAGAAGAGGAGACAGGAGCUGUGCUGCUGGCAGAACACCUUGGUGGCAGUCCCCAGCUUUCAGACCCCAUCAGCAAACUCCAGCUCUGACAGCCAGAACAGGCAAGUCCCCCUGGCUCCAGCCCUGCCAUUCCUGGCACCAGCCUGAGAAAAAUUCCAGCUGCCAUGGCCCAGUUUUGUCUCCACCAGCAAGGAAAACCUCCAUGUCAAGGGCAUCUGAAGCCUGCCUGAUUUUCUGCGUGGAGCUUUGGGUCCCCAUGGAGAUGGCAUCUGAGAAAAGGAGAUAAAACCCUUUUGUGAGGAUGGAUCCCGAUUAUUAUUUGUUUAAUUAGAACCUGGACUGAUGCAGAGGCAACAAUUAACAAUUUCCUUCUGUAAAGGACUUUGACCACAGCUGAGUAAGUGAAUGGCUUGCAAGAUGGAGACAAAUGAUUGCAGCUGUCAUUUGUGAGGCUGGAGGUGCAAGGAGGAGUCCUGAAGUUUCUGAUUCAAGGGGCUUUUCCUCCUUCUUUUGGAAAAAUCCAGCAGGAAUUUUCUCCUGCCGCGCAGCAGGGAUUGCCUGGGAGCCAGGGAAUUAAGUUCCAGAUGAAAAUUUAAACUGUUAAUUACACUUUCCUAGCAGACUCCGGGAAUGUCUAAUAGCGGAAUUGCAGGGAGGUGGCUCAGGUGAGCUUUGAUUCCUUUCACACACCUGCCCUCCUUGGGAGCGCGGCUGGGCAGGCCAGCCUUGCUGCUCCUCGGUGUCCCCAGGGCCGGGUGGCCGCAGGCCGAGGCCAAGGGAGGGGUUCUGCAGACACUGCCAGCCCCCGGCCCCUUCCUCUUUAUUUUAUGGCUUUAUUUUCUGGGCACGCGCGGGCUCGGGGCUGCUCGGCAGAGCUGCUGGCAGCUGGAGCGUGCAGGGGCUCGGUGCCCGGCCCGGGGAGCCACGGGGGUCCCGGGGGGCAGCAGGGACCUGGGGGAGCCCACGGGAGGGAAAGGGAUCAUUGGAAAGGGUCUGGAGGGACGUGUCCAGGGGCCGGAAUGGCCGGAUUCCAGCUGGAAUUCUGAGGUGCCACCAGAGGCAAGUGUGGCUGGUUUGACAGUGCCAAGUGCCUCCUGCAAACUGACAUCAGGAACCUGGCCCGGUGAGUUUUGUUUCCCAGGGAAAAGGGAAAGGACAAGGAGGAGUAGCCGUAAGCUGGUGGAGUGUAAGCUGAGAUUGGAUUUUGGGAAGGAAUCCUUUUCUGAGAGGGUGGGCAGCCCUGGCACAGGUGCCCAGCAGCUGGGGCUGCCCCUGGAUCCCUGGCAGUGCCCAGGCCAGGCUGGACAGGGCUGGCAGCACCUGGGGCAGGGGAAGGUGUCCCUGCCAUGGCCGGGGUGGGACAGUUCCUUUCCAGAACCAUCAGCUCUCUCUUGACCAGGCUGGACAAGCUGAGUGACGUCAGCCUAUGCCUUCCUGGUUUUCCCCGCAGGCCCUUCCCCAUCCCGGCCGGUCCGAGCCGCUCAGGAGGCUCUAACCCGCAGAUUUGGGG